AGAUUUUAAUGUCUCUGGAUGUGUCACCCCAUUGAUCACCAAGGUUGAAACAGCUGAUCUGGCAACCUAGGAUGGUCUUCCCUUCCUUCCUCAUCACUCCAUGUGUGUCCUCCAAAAACUAACACCCUGUCCCAGAUGGAAAUAUCAAAGCUAAGGAAUGAAAUUUGCCUGGGAUGUUUGCAAGACCAGAAAUAGGGGCAAGGGUAGCACUAUUAUCAAUGGCUACUAGAAUGGAUGCCUAGUUACUGCCUCCAGGUUGGAAAGACAGGCAGGAU
rnacentral:snRNA from 1 species